AGCGAACGCUGGCGGCAGGCCUAACACAUGCAAGUCGAACGCUCACCUUCGGGUGGGAGUGGCAGACGGGUGAGUAACACGUGGGAACGUGCCCUUCGGUUCGGGAUAACUCAGGGAAACUUGAGCUAAUACCGGAUACGCCCUUUUGGGGAAAGAUUGAUUGCCGAAGGAUCGGCCCGCGUCCGAUUAGCUGGUUGGUGGGGUAAUGGCCCACCAAGGCGACGAUCGGUAGCUGGUCUGAGAGGAUGAUCAGCCACACUGGGACUGAGACACGGCC
rnacentral:rRNA from 1 species